UACGGAGGAUGCAAGCGUUAUCCGGAUUUAUUGGGUUUAAAGGGUGCGCAGGUUGUUUGAUAAGUCAGUGGUGAAAGUCUGUCGCUUAACGGUAGGAUUGCCAUUGAUACUGUUGGACUUGAAUAUGGAUGAGGUAGGCGGAAUGUGUAGUGUAGCGGUGAAAUGCUUAGAUAUCACGAGGAACUCCGAUUGCGCAGGCAGCUUACUAAACCACUACUGACGCUCAUGCACGAAGGCGUGGGGAUCAAACAGGAUUA
rnacentral:rRNA from 1 species